UACCAGCACCCCGAGUGGUCGGGACGAUUAUUGGGCCUAAAGCAUCCGUAGCCGGCCUUACAAGUCCUCCGUUAAAUCCAGCUGCUUAACAGAUGGGCUGCGGAGGAUACUAUAAGACUAGGAGGCAGGAGAGGCAAGCGGUACUCAGUGGGUAGGGGUAAAAUCCGUUGAUCCAUUGAAGACCACCAGUGGCGAAGGCGGCUUGCCAGAAUGCGCUCGACGGUGAAGGAUGAAAGCUGGGGGAGCAAACAGG
rnacentral:rRNA from 1 species